GGUAUCAAAUGGUUUCACUUUUCAUCGGCAGGAGUUAUGCAUACCCAAUGAGUGAUGAUGCGGACAUUAUGAGCACCGAAUAUGUCACGCACUUGACCAUUGAUGGGUUGUUUACAUAACCUGGUGCGAAGCCUGGAGCAUAGGCCGACGCGUAUGCUGGACUGUAAGCCGGUGCGUACGCUGGUGCUGCAAUAAGCGGUGCUGAAUAGACACCGUUGUAAUUCCUAGCAAUGUACUGGGAGCUGGAUGCAGUGACAAAUGGAGCUGGGGCGGCAGCCACUAGUGGAGCUGGUGCAGCUACCAACGGGGCAGGGGCGGCGGCUACAAAAGCUGGCACGCUUGGCUUAGCAGCGGCGAAGGCAAGGGCAGCGAGGAAGACAAUCUGGAAUUAAAUUACAAAAUUAAUGACUUGAAAUAAACUUAUUUGUACAACCUAUU